CCAAUAUUACUUCUCAAAUCCAGAUUUCGCAGAGGAAGCUCGCGCUGUAACAAUGAGCAAAACCUCUACAGUUUCUCUCCCUUGAUCUCAUUCCGUCCCACUACCAGUGAUUCCAAUUGCACCCAAGCUUGCUUGUUUGCUUCGUCCCUCUUUCACUCUGAUCUUCCGGUUCGGUUAUUCAAUCGGUGCAGCAUCUAUUUCCUCUGUGAAAAAUGCCUCUGAGGUUGGAAAUUAAGAGAAAACUUGCUCAAAGAUCAGAAAGAGUAAAGUCAGUGGAUCUACAUCCAACAGAGCCAUGGAUAUUAUCAAGUUUAUAUUCAGGGACUGUUUCCAUCUGGAACUACCAAACUCAGACAAUGGCAAAAUCUUUUGAGGUCACUGAUCUACCAGUUAGGUCUGCAAAGUUCAUAGCACGUAAGCAGUGGGUUGUCGCUGGUGCUGAUGACAUGUUUAUUCGGGUAUACAACUACAAUACCAUGGAUAAAGUCAAAGUAUUUGAGGCUCACACUGAUUAUAUUAGGUGUGUAGCUGUGCAUCCUAAUCUUUCAUAUGUGUUGUCAUCUUCUGAUGACAUGCUUAUAAAGCUAUGGGACUGGGAAAAGGGCUGGAUAUGCACUCAAAUUUUUGAGGGCCACUCCCAUUAUGUGAUGCAAGUGACAUUUAAUCCAAAAGAUACCAAUACUUUUGCUAGUGCAUCUCUUGAUCGAACAAUAAAGAUUUGGAAUCUUGGCUCACCUGAUCCAAACUUUACCCUGGAUGCUCAUUUGAAAGGUGUUAACUGUGUAGACUAUUUCACUGGUGGUGAUAAACCUUACUUAAUUACUGGUUCUGAUGAUCAUACUGCUAAGGUGUGGGACUACCAGACUAAAAGUUGUGUACAAACUCUUGAAGGGCAUACACAUAAUGUCUCUGCUGUAUGUUUUCAUCCUGAACUACCUAUUAUAAUCACGGGUUCUGAAGAUGGUACGGUUCGUAUAUGGCAUUCAACAACAUAUAGACUUGAGAACACAUUGAAUUAUGGUCUUGAAAGGGUCUGGGCUAUUGGUUAUAUCAAAGGUUCAAGAAGGGUUGUGAUUGGUUAUGAUGAGGGAACCGUUAUGGUUAAAAUGGGCCGAGAAGUACCUAUUGCUAGUAUUGAUAACAGUGGAAAAAUCAUAUGGGCAAAGCAUAAUGAGAUUCAAACUGUCAAUAUCAAGAGUGUGGGAUCAGAUUACGAGGUCACUGAUGGAGAAAGAUUGCCUUUGGCAGUCAAGGAAUUGGGAACAUGUGAUCUCUACCCACAAAGCUUAAAACAUAAUCCCAAUGGAAGGUUUGUUGUUGUUUGCGGAGACGGGGAAUACAUCAUAUACACAGCUCUAGCUUGGAGAAAUCGGUCUUUUGGCUCGGCACUUGAAUUUGUUUGGUCAUCUGAUGGAGAAUAUGCUGUGAGGGAAAGUACAUCAAGGAUUAAGAUUUUCAGUAAAAAUUUUCAGGAGAAGAAGAGCAUCCGACCUACAUUUUCUGCUGAUCGCAUAUAUGGCGGUAUUCUUUUGGCGAUGUGCUCAAAUGAUUUCAUUUGCUUUUAUGAUUGGGCUGACUGCAGGUUGAUACGGCGCAUUGAUGUUAAUGUUAAAAAUCUCUACUGGGCUGACAGUGGUGAUUUAUUGGCUAUUGCAAGUGACUCUUCAUUCUACAUUCUUAAAUAUAAUCGAAAUGUUGUUUCUCCACAUUUUGAUGGUGGAAGAUCAGUUGAUGAUCAAGGCAUAGAGGAAGCAUUUGAACUCCUUUAUGAGAUCAGUGAACGGGUUAGAACUGGAAUAUGGGUUGGGGAUUGUUUCAUUUACAACAAUUCUUCAUGGAGACUGAAUUACUGUGUUGGUGGUGAGGUCACCACAAUGUUUCAUUUGGACCGUCCAAUGUACCUACUGGGGUAUCUGGCAAAUCAAAGUAGGGUUUAUCUCAUUGACAAAGAGUUCAAUGUUAUCGGAUACACAUUACUCCUCAGCUUGAUUGAGUACAAGACACUUGUGAUGCGUGGUGAUCUGGAGCGAGCAAUUGAGGUCUUAUCAUCAAUUCCUAAGGAGCACCAUAAUAGUGUGGCCCGUUUCCUGGAAUCUCGAGGAAUGGUAGAGGAAGCAUUAGACGUUGCUACUGACCCUGAUUACAGAUUUGAACUUGCCAUACAACUAGGGAAGUUAGACAUUGCUAAGGAAAUUGCUUUAGUAGCUCGUAGUGAAUCCAAGUGGAAGCAGUUGGGUGAACUUGCUAUGUCUUCCGGAAUGUUAGAGUUGGCAGAGCAAUGCUUGAAGCAAGCAAAUGACUUGAGUGGUUUGUUAUUACUCUACUCUUCUCUAGGAGAUGCCGAGGGAAUAACUGAACUUGUAUCUCUUUCCAAAGAGCACGGGAAAAAUAAUGUUUCUUUCCUUUGUCUUUUCCUGUUGGGUAAAGUGGAAGAGUGCAUUCAGCUAUUGAUUGACAGCAAUCGGCUACCUGAGGCUGCAUUUAUGGCGCGAUCUUAUUUACCUAGUAAAGUAUCUGAAAUAGUUGAAAUUUGGAGAAAGGACCUUAACAAGACUAACCAAAAAGCUUCUGAGGCUUUGGCUGAUCCCAAAGAAUACCCUAACCUGUUUGAAGACUGGCAAGUUGCACUUGCAGUUGAAUCUACUGUUGCUGAGACGAGAGGUAACCUUCCACCGGCAUCUGAAUAUUUUAAUCAAGCUGAUAGAUCAACAACCAACCUCGUGGAGGCUUUCAGGAACAUGAGGAUGGAUGAAGAUGCCCUUCAGAAUGGAGACUUGGAUCAUGAGGUUGCAGACCAGAAUGGGGAUGAGGUGCAAGAUGAUGCUCAAGAAGAGACCGUUCUGGUGGAUGCUGACUCCGUGGAUGGUGCAGUACUUAUUAAUGCAAAUGGGACUGAAGAACAGUGGGGUACGAAUAAUGAAGGAAAAGAGUCCGCCUAAAAGCAAUUGGCUGGGCCGGUGUGAAGUUCUAGUUUUGUUGCUGUGCUUACACCACAUCAGUGAUUCCAGUCAAGAAGGUUGGUUCCAGCUGUAUGUAAUUCAUUAAAAGGCUUCCCGCAAUUGUUGUCUUAAAAAUAUGCACAAUCAAGGGACCAAAUUCAUGGCUCGCUGGCUACUUGUGGUGUGAUUUUGUAGCAAUGAGUUAUGCCAGCAUACAGUAUACACAUCUUCCAAGCUCGAGUUAAUAGUUGAGCUGCUCAUACUUGUUUUAAUUAACAUUCUUUGGGUCCGAACUUUUUUAUUUUUGAUUUUUUUUUUUUUUUUUAAAUUUCCAAUUUUUACAUGCCAGCAUGAAUGUAGAAACACUCAAUAUGAUAGUAUAUGAUAGUGAAGUUGCAAGAUAGUACUGUGAUGUUGAGCAAUUCAUCUUAGGGAGAUCUCUUGUAAAGUUGCAAGGUGACGUGGAGAAGAUUCUCUUAGGGAGACCUCUUGGUGUCCAAAUGUUUAAUAAUCUAAUUGUCACCCUUGUUGUCUAAUUGGUCAUUUCAUUGAUAUAGCUCCGAAAUAUCUACUUGGUAUUUUUUUAA